UUCACAAUGUGAAUAUGACGUGAUGAACGUAUGUCGAUAUUCAUGUAUCAAGUCGGAAAUAUAUGAGAAUAAUAAUCUUAUUAUUUAUAUAAAUUAUCUGUAUUACUUUCUUUUCCUCAGUAGUUACCAUAUACCCAAUUUUGUAGUCUUCAGUCCAUAUUCUGAAUUCGCUUUUAUCAAUCAAAAGUGUUUCUAAGACCGCUAUUCAUAGUCGAAUUUUAUAUUUAAGACUGUCUUAAGUUUGUCUUCAGAUACUUCGUAGUCAAUGAAAUGAGCGACGUAGAGCGUCUGAAGAUAAACUUAAAAACGGUCAUAAAUGUAAAAUCUGACUGUGAAAACCGGUCUAAGGCCUGAUCCAAGCAGUAAGCGUAAACCGAGCUUAGGUCCAUUUCAUCGAUAAGAGUGAAUACAGAAUACGGAUUUUUGCAUCUCUCUCUCUCUCUCUCUCUCUCUUUCUCUCUCUCAAGGAUAUUAAUGGUACCUAUAUUUAUGAUAAAUCCGGCAAUGUUUAUAACGUACUUUUGGCUCGGCCGCAUGCGCACGAGGGUCCACCAAACUACUAGUUUCCUCGCAGCUCAUAAGUUCCUUCCCAUUGAAUGCGUAACCCCUCCACAUUGUUCUUACAAUGCUGCCGAAGCUACACUCGGCAACGUGAUGUGGAGCAAGAGAGAGGGAACGAUGAAGACCUAACUUUCACUGAGUUCAGUUUCAGAAUUCAGUUGCGCGGCAAACACGCUGUCGGAACGUAUUGGAGUAUAACAUUGGCAUCUCGCACACACGAGGACUAUUCAAAAUUCACUAGUGAAUCACGACUUAUUCAAAUUAUUACAGACAGUUAGUUGUCUAUCUCCCUUGUCUUUUUAAUUUUUUUUUUUUUUUUCAAACAGGCCACGUGUGUCGUAUUUUUCCGUAUGAAUGUGUACCCUCACCGCGCACGCACGUGACUUUUACAUACAAAUUGUUUUCAAUUAAUUUUUAAGUAAAAAUGCAAUUUUGAAGUUUACUGGAAAAGAAUACAAACUCGUUCAGUGAUUUCAAGCGAAUUAAACCUGAACUAUGAGAAAAAAAAAGAGGCGACAGAAGUAUAAUCGAUCAACGUCCCGUUAUUUUCCAACGAUGGCGACACAAAGUCGCGAGAAAUACUACGUUGAUAUAAUUGGAAGUCAUGAUGGGGAUUCGGUGACAUUUUUAUACGGCGAAGAUUCAUACAUAUUAAAUCCAUCCCGAAACUUAGUGGACGAACUGUAUAAGACUGAUGACACAAGACUGACAGCACAAGCAGGCCACUUGUAUAGCAGAAUAUCCAGUAGAAGGCUUGUUUACUACAGGAGGUAGUACAAGUGAUGCAGUGAAAUAUGGAGAGGAUUAUUCAACGUUUCUCCAACUAUUUCUCUAACUGGCAGUUAUGCCAAUUAAAGAGUUGUCCAGAUUUGUGGUAAACUCUUUAAUCGGGCGCAAUUGCCAAUUGGAGAAUAAAGCAUUUAGUAAAAGCAGUUGAGACAGGACUGUUGGAAUAGCUGCCGAGUGACAAAAAUAUCGCAAUUUAGCCGCUACAGAUACCGCUACAGAUUCUCUACGGGUACCUCGUUAUUGGCUAUCGGUUAAUGGCUGUUUCCGUUCAACUUUGACCAUACGGAUGUCGGAAUAUCUGGAAGCGUGCACAGAAGGUCAGAGGCGAAUUCCGAAUUGACUGUGGAUUGCCUCGUGCGAUAAGAGUGCGAAACAUCUUGCCAAUAUGUGCAGUUGCUAACAUCGGAACCAUCUGAUAAACAUGCUCCAGAGAUUCUCCUUCAAUUAUCUACAUUUCUCCAGAGACUACAAUUCUCCAGAGAUUCUUCUCGGAAGGAAGGAGGCAUUAUUGAAUGAUUUCUUUGACCGAUUACAUUCGAAUCUAUCUAUGUCGAACCAAAAACGAACCUGUUGUGCCUGAUCAAUAAUGCGUCUAAACAUGAUGCACCAGGAGAUCUUCAGAAGAGAUAUUGGGAGGACGGGCCUUCGAUAGUCGACACAGGUGAUCAGCUAAUUUAAUAUAAAAUGUCCUAAUUGCUGGUCCAGCGGAAGGACUCUACCGGGCAUCAGCCGGAUGUGAGUGGAUGUGUGCUAUCGCACCGUACGCAAACUUCUCCUACUGGAAGACGUCCGAAUAUGCUGUGUACUUAUUCAGAUGAGGAACUGACAAUUCUAACACGAAAUUCAAAUAUCGUACUCCAUUGAUUAUCGCCACGAGUCCUGCCGCCAAAAGAUACCGGAUAUUCAAUCCGCCCGAUUUCAUCUUCGAAAAUCGGGAAUAAACCGAGAAGAUUUCUGGAUGCCUACGACUUUUAAUUCACCGUCUCGAAUGAAUCUCCCCCUCCUUUUUCUUUCACUUUCUCGACAACUGCGAUCGGAUUUUCUUCAAGCACUUCUCACUGAACCUACUUCUGAGGGUGAAAAUGGCUAAAGAUGAAAAAGAAAAAUGGAAAAUUCAAUAUUCCCGUUAAUCGUACGAUCUGCGUAUGGGACGUGUGAACCGACCAGUUCUCUACAAUAUCGCGUUUCUCAGCAACAGAAUUGACCGAGAUUUGAUUGGUCCGCGGAAGAGAUUCCAGCAGACUUGGCUGGCCGACUGGUUUCCAGAUCAGGUCCCCGACGACUAUCCCAGGACGAGCCGAAUAGCACCCCCACCUCAUGGAAAUAUCAUUCCCACUGUCGAGCCAUGGCAUUGUGUCGCCCGCGCUAAUUCGCGUUUUUUCUUUUCGCGUCUUCCGUCUUAAUAUUUCGACAAUGUGGGAGGCUUCAUCGGCAUAUCUAAUUUUUUCCUUGCCUGGACGGCAGCUGAUCUAGUAAAUUAAACGAUGACGGACGACGACUGCACCGACAUGAAUAAUUAGAGCAAUCUAUGUGAUUAUUUACAACCCUGGAUGCGCGAUAAACGGCCGCGAAGAUGCGUGCACGGUCAUGCGCGCUCUAGAUUUCAUCAAUGUUAAUGUCGGUCUGCAAUAGGUGGUAGGUUUUGAGCCUUAAGAAAUUGACUAAUCACAGUUAAUUUGUUCACAUUCGGCUGUGACCGGUCAAUUUCUUGAAGCUUAAGGUUCAAAAUACAUAUUGUGGACCGACACUUACUAUGUCAUGAAUUUCCACGAACGAUACGAAUGAUUCCUCGCGCCGCGUAUCCAGUUGUUUUGAAUAUGUUAGAAGAAAAGUCACUGCCAGCAGAGGUGGCAGCGAACUCGCGCUUCGCUCCUUCUUUCCCGUCGUUAUAUCUUGUUCCCGGUGUCACGGUGAAACAAGAGACGUUUAACGCCGUCCGUCAUCGUGUUAGCCGUGAUAUCGCGAUGGAGAUUGAGGAUCGUAACCUCGAAUUUAAAUUUACGUCAUCACACCGAAUCGAUAAUCGUGACGAAAUACUAGUAAAUUUCAAUGUCGACUGUGGAUUUUACUUAGAUUCACUUGAAACUACGCUUUCAAUUUGGAGUUGGCGGAGCUGGAGCGCGAUCGAUCCGUGCCGUCGCCGCGAAUGACGCAGGACUCAUUACAGGCGAGAAAGACGGUUUGUCCCGAUUGUAAAAAAGGUAAUGUAAACGUUAAUUUCCAUACUAAUCGAGCGGCGCGUAAUAUUUCAGCACAUCGAGAAAAAUCAACACAUUUCCGUCUUUUCGAUACAUUUGGUCUGUUCUUUCCCUAUAAGAACAUCCGCGGGAUCCACACGCGAGAUCGACGCAAAAUCUAUGUGGAAUCGGUUUCCUUACACGAAUUUGAUGGAGACUCGACGGGAAUUCGAGAUAGAUGUCCCCUUGUAGGAUUAACUGCACUGGAUAUUAAUCUAAAUGAAAUAUAAAAUAUCUGGCUAUGGAAAGGUUGUCUGGAGCAAAAACAAUUCAAGUUUGAAUGUUACUAGCAAAAAGCUUGUUGGGGUCACCGGUAGCCAGCGCUGCCUUAUCACAUUACCAGAUCUCUAAUAAGAUAAGACCUGCCUUGGAGGCUUCCCGUUGACGCAAUCGGACAAAACUUUCGAGCAUCAAUCGAGCAGCAACGCACAACGAAUCAAUCUAAAUCUCCAAUAGAAAAUUACGAUAACAUUCGAGAAGACCCCGACAAGAACUCAAGAAGAGCCAAAACAAAACUUGCGCAGAUUUAUAAAUUCAAAUAAAAAUGAAUCCAAUGAUACAUCAUUCGGAGGAGUGCAUUUCACAUGAACGAUUUGUUUUAGAAGUACUAUGUGUUGUGAUUGCACAUAUUAAUUGUGUCAUAUUUUUUUCCAAGCGUAUAAAUAUUAAUGAAUUUCAUCGUUAUUUACCUAUACGAGUACAAUGUGCGAUGUUAUUGACAAUAUUAUUAUUUAUCUUUUGGAUUCCACGAAUCGUAAACAUCAUUUUUAAAAUUGUAUUUCCACUAAUAGCCCAAAUAGGACUAUAAUAGGCCAUAUUUUAGUAUAUUUUAUAUUAUAUAUAUUUGUAAUGUUUUUAAAA